UGGGGAAUAUUGCGCAAUGGGGGGAACCCUGACGCAGCCAUGCCGCGUGAAUGAAGAAGGCCUUAGGGUUGUAAAGUUCUUUCGGUAUUGAGGAAGGUUGAUGUGUUAAUAGCACAUCAAAUUGACGUUAAAUACAGAAGAAGCACCGGCUAACUCCGUGCCAGCAGCCGCGGUAAUACGGAGGGUGCGAGCGUUAAUCGGAAUAACUGGGCGUAAAGGGCACGCAGGCGGUUAUUUAAGUGAGGUGUGAAAGCCCCGGGCUUAACCUGGGAAUUGCAUUUCAGACUGGGUAACUAGAGUACUUUAGGGAGGGGUAGAAUUCCACGUGUAGCGGUGAAAUGCGUAGAGAUGUGGAGGAAUACCAAAGGCGAAGGCAGCCCCUUGGGAAUGUACUGACGCUCAUGUGCGAAAGCGUGGGGAGCAAACAGGAUUAGAUACCCUGGUAGUCCACGCUGUAAACGCUGUCGAUUUGGGGGUUGGGGUUUAACUCUGGCGCCCGUAGCUAACGUGAUAAAUCGACCGCCUGGGGAGUACGGCCGCAAGGUUA
rnacentral:rRNA from 1 species